rnacentral:rRNA from 1 species
CCUACGGGUGGCUGCAGUGGGGAAUAUUGGACAAUGGGGGCAACCCUGAUCCAGCCAUGCCGCGUGUGUGAAGAAGGCCCUCGGGUUGUAAAGCACUUUCAGUGAGGAAGAACGCCUGGUGGUUAAUACCCAUCAGGAAAGACAUCACUCACAGAAGAAGCACCGGCUAACUCCGUGCCAGCAGCCGCGGUAAUACGGAGGGUGCGAGCGUUAAUCGGAAUUACUGGGCGUAAAGCGCGCGUAGGUGGCUUGAUAAGCCGGUUGUGAAAGCCCCGGGCUCAACCUGGGAACGGCAUCCGGACCUGUCAAGCUAGAGUGCAGGAGAGGAAGGUAGAAUUCCCGGUGUAGCGGUGAAAUGCGUAGAGAUCGGGAGGAAUACCAGUGGCGAAGGCGGCCUUCUGGACUGACACUGACACUGAGGUGCGAAAGCGUGGGUAGCAAACAGGAUUAGAUACCCCUGUAGUC